CCUACGGGGGGCUGCAGUGGGGAAUAUUGGACAAUGGGGGGAACCCUGAUCCAGCCAUGCCGCGUGUGUGAAGAAGGCCCUCGGGUUGUAAAGCACUUUCAGUGAGGAAGAACGCCUGGUGGUUAAUACCCAUCAGGAAAGACAUCACUCACAGAAGAAGCACCGGCUAACUCCGUGCCAGCAGCCGCGGUAAUACGGAGGGUGCGAGCGUUAAUCGGAAUUACUGGGCGUAAAGCGCGCGUAGGUGGCUUGAUAAGCCGGUUGUGAAAGCCCCGGGCUCAACCUGGGAACGGCAUCCGGAACUGUCAAGCUAGAGUGCAGGAGAGGAAGGUAGAAUUCCCGGUGUAGCGGUGAAAUGCGUAGAGAUCGGGAGGAAUACCAGUGGCGAAGGCGGCUUUCUGGACUGACACUGACACUGAGGUGCGAAAGCGUGGGUAGCAAACAGGAUUAGAUACCCGAGUAGUC
rnacentral:rRNA from 1 species